CGAUGCACAGAGAUUCACAAACAUAGAUUGUUUGAAUAACUUACUGGAGAUAGGACCUCUUGUGAGUCCGUGCGGGUAGGUACCACCACCCUGCCUAUUUCUGCCGUGAAGCAGUAAUGCGUUUCGGUCGGAAGGGCAGGGCAGCCGUUGUAACUAUACUGAGAUCUUAGAACUUAUAUCUCAAGUUGGAUAGCGCAUUUACGUUAUAGAUGUCUAUGGACUCCAGUAACCAGUUAAUACCAAAAAAAUAUAUACUUGUAAAGCCUAGUAUCAAGGGCAAGUUAUUAUGGAAUAACAAAAUGGUUAGGCCACUUAUCAAAUAGACAUACAUUUUUGUAUUGCCAACUUUACUUUAUUUGGUUUGAAAACACUCUACUCUUUCUGGUGAUAGGGCGUCUUCUGAGCCCGCACGGUUAGGUACCACCACCACCCAGCUUAUUUCUGCCGUGAGCUUAUGUCUUAUUUAUUUUAUUUAUUUAUUUAUUUAUGUACACACAGAAAACAAGACACAGUACAGAGUAAUAGGAAAAUUAUGUACAAAGGCACUGCUUAUUUCUUUGAGAAAUCUCUUCCAGCAGACCUGCGAGAGGAUAAUGAGAAUAAUAAUAAAAAGUGAUAAGUGUGUGUAGAACACAUAACUAAAAUAACAAAUACAACAUGAGAAUUAUAGCACAUACACAUAGCAAAUAUUAUAAGUAACACAGUAACACUCGUAUAUGCGAAGAGUAUAGAACCAUGAUCAUUCGGUUGAUGAUAGAUAAAAUUGUUUGACCUUGUAUUUAAAAACGGAAACAGACUUGCAAACUCGGAUGUCAGCCGGCAACGAAUUCCACAGUCUGACCGCGUGCACAGUAAAGGAGUGAGAAUAGAAAUUGGUUUUGUGGGAAGGGAAUAACAAAACAGAACGUUGGUUGGACCUGCAGGGAGCAUCAGGAGAACGAAUGAAAGAGAAUCGCUCACGUAAAUAUAAGGGAGAAGUGGGCUUAUGUAGGAUAUUGAAUAGGAGACAUAAUAUUCGAGUAUUCCUACGAAGGCGUAUAGGGAGCCAUUUAAGUUCUUUGCGAAAAUGAGAAACAUGAUCGAAUUUUCUGAGAUUGUAUAUAAAACGGAUACAUAGAUUUUGCAUCCUCUCAAGCUUGUUUGAGAGCUCCUCAGUGGCAUCCAAGUAGCAGGCAUCGGCGUAAUCAAUUAUGGGUAGAAUGAGAGCUUGGACGAGAGAUAUUUUUGUAUGCUGAGGUAAGAAGCCCUGCAGACAUCUCAACGAGUGCAAGGCAAAGUGCACCUUCCUACUAAUCUCAGCAACGUGAGAACUCCACGAAAGAUGUCGAUCUACAAUAACACCCAGGUUUUUAACUGAAUCGGUUAGAGUUAUUUGAGUCCCAUCCAAAUAAAUUGGGGGGAGUAUAGGAUCGCUGAGUCUACUGCGCAAUUGUUUACCCCCUAUAAUGAUAGCCUGUGAUUUUCCCGGAUUAAUGUGCAGACCGUAGGCUUUUGCCCAUUCACUGAUAGACUUCAGAUCACUGUUCAUCGCAGCAAUAGCCGAUUCAACUUCAGGCUCCGAGAAGUGGCGAUAUAGCUGGAGAUCGUCUGCGUAGAGGUGGAAUUUAGAAGAUAUAAGCCUAGUGACAGAGUUUAUAAACACAGAAAACAGAAGAGGAGAAAGAACACCACCUUGGGGAACGCCCGCACUGACGUUCUGCCAAUCUGAGAAAGUCUCGUCAAGACGGACACAUUGCGAGCGCCCCCGAAGCGAAUGUCAUCGGUCACUUUUAGAAGAGCUGUAACCGUGCUGUGGCCCUUGCGAAAACCAGAUUGGAAGGAGCUAAGAAGAUUGUGGGAGAGGAGAAAAGACGACAGCUGACGGUGGACAAUGUGCUCAA